rnacentral:lncRNA from 1 species
GACAAAUUACUCCACUUUAAUAAGAUGAAAGACUUUCAUGUUUUUUAUGAUACUAUAAUACUAUAAUUGAAACCCAACUGAAAAUUUUUCUACUCUUUGUAUAUAAAUUACACAUGAUAGAAUCUUAACUCUUAGUAACCUUGUUUUAGCAAAGACAGAGACACAAAGCAAUAUUAAACCUUUUUCCAUUUACCAAUUUAUGAAAACACACAUAAUGUUUAAAUAUAUUACCUUAUGGAACUUAAUAAGUAAAGAGUACUUGAUUUCAUAUUUAGUGGUUGAUAUUUUAACACUUUAGCUUUGUAAAUUAAUCAGAUGUCUGUAAAAACCAAGAUCUUAGACAAGUGUAGCAAACAGAACUAGCCAUCUCUUUCUUGUUGAAGAAAAAUCCUUCUACAGGAUACCAUGAUGGUCUCAUUAAUAUACUUAAUAACUCAUCUUUAAAAAGCCAUUUGCUACAUUUUUGUAUUUUAUCAACAUAUGCCUUAACUGUUCUUGGUCUUACUGGGGUGCCUCCUUUCUCUAACAAUUUCUCUUCCUCGGAGGCGAACAACUUCAAACCUUGAGUCAACCAUUUUCCCCAGUUUGCCUGAGAAAGUUCUAGGAACAGGCAACUUGAAAUAAAAACAAAAUAAAUCAAAACAAGAGCAUAUUGUUUUUUGAAUUGGUCACCCAUUCUUUCGCUCUUCCUCAAGGGUGAGAAAUUUCACUUACCUCUAAGAUUCAGAAGUUCCCCGUACGGGCCACCAAAUGCCGCAGUCUGGCUGGGCACAAAUGCCGCAGU